rnacentral:lncRNA from 1 species
GUUUAAUGACUGAAUCAGUGGAAGUAUGACCCCGAGUGCCGGUUAACUUUUAAAAUAGCUGUGCCUACUGCAUGACACAGCCAACAGGAAGCCAUUAAGGCGCUAGCAAUUACCACUUCCAUCCAUCGGCGAAGUCCCUAUUUUAUUUUAAUCUGUGUAAGUGCAUUUUCUGCACGAGGUUAAAAUAUAAAUCCCUUCUCCUGAACAAGACUGGUUUUCUGGCUGACUUGAGAGCACAAUUUACAACUGAUUUAAUUUGUUCUUCACAAACAUUCCUAAUGACAUUACCCCGGUGCAUAUACAGACUGCCUCCUCUUAUUCCAUUAACUCCCAAAUCGGGUUUAAAGACCAUAUUGAUGCUAGAUGUUAUUAUGGGUGAUUAUCAAAACAACAGACAACUCGGCAAAGUGUUUACUAACUGGUUUAUAUGUAAUUUCUGUAAUAACGACAACAGAUGGUAAUGUUACAAGCACUAAAUCACGCUUUUCGCCGCUGAAACAAAUUGGCAGGCUGCAGUACAGAGAUGGUGUACAGGAGCUAUACCCAGAUGCUUCACUCAUCAGCUACAGUGUUCGUCUUAUUAGGAAAUGGGCCUGUUACCGCUAUUACAGGCUCGGAAAGAGGCCUGGUUCUGAGAUGCUGCAAGAUUCUGGAAGUAAAGAAGCAGAUGGUACCUUGAGAGUGGUCAUCGGCGGAAAAUUCCCCCAAAGAGAGGAAAUUUGGAAUUGUUUAAAAAGCAAGGAGACGAAAGACCCUUCUCUUGGGUGUUACCUCUGACGUCUUGCUUGUUAGGACCGGAG